rnacentral:rRNA from 1 species
UACGUAGGUGGCAAGCGUUGUCCGGAAUUAUUGGGCGUAAAGCGCGCGUAGGCGGCUACCUAAGUCGGAUGUGAAAGCCCCUGGCUUAACUGGGGAAGUGCACCCGAAACUGGGUAGCUAGAGUGCAAAAGAGGGUCGCGGAAUUCCCGGUGUAGAGGUGAAAUUCGUAGAUAUCGGGAGGAACACCGGUGGCGAAGGCGGCGACCUGGGUUGACACUGACGCUGAGGCGCGAAAGCGUGGGGAGCAAACAGG